CCUACGGGAGGCAGCAGUAAGGAAUAUUGGACAAUGGAGGCAACUCUGAUCCAGCCAUGCCGCGUGCAGGAAGAAGGCGCUACGCGUUGUAAACUGCUUUUGUACCAGAGAAAAUCAUUGUACGUGUACGAUGUUGAUAGUAUGGUAAGAAUAAGCAUCGGCUAACUUCGUGCCAGCAGCCGCGGUAAUACGAAGGAUGCAAGCGUUAUCCGGAUUUAUUGGGUUUAAAGGGAGCGUAGGCGGUCUUAUAAGUCAGUGGUGAAAUCUCGUUGCUUAACAACGAACGUGCCAUUGAUACUGUAGGACUUGAGUACAGUUGCCGUUGGCGGAAUGUGUCAUGUAGCAGUGAAAUGCAUAGAUAUGACACAGAACACCGAUUGCGAAGGCAGCUGACGAAACUGUAACUGACGCUGAGGCUCGAAAGCGUGGGGAUCAAACAGGAUUAGAUACCCUGGUAGUCCACGCCCUAAACUAUGAUUACUCGCUGUCGGCGAUAUAUGUGUAGCUAGACGAAGAGUAAGUAAGUACACCGUCGGAGGACGCCGCCGAGGUAGAACGACGAANAGAGUUAGACGGCGNGAGAGNGCGACGGACGACGACGAGGGAGGAGG
rnacentral:rRNA from 1 species